rnacentral:rRNA from 1 species
GGCGGCGUGCUUAACACAUGCAAGUCGAACGAUGAAGCCCUUCGGGGUGGAUUAGUGGCGAACGGGUGAGUAACACGUGGGCAAUCUGCCCUUCACUCUGGGACAAGCCCUGGAAACGGGGUCUAAUACCGGAUACCACUUCCCUGUCCGCAUGGGCAGGGGUUGAAAGCUCCGGCGGUGAAGGAUGAGCCCGCGGCCUAUCAGCUUGUUGGUGGGGUAACGGCCCACCAAGGCGACGACGGGUAGCCGGCCUGAGAGGGCGACCGGCCACACUGGGACUGAGACACGGCCCAGACUCCUACGGGAGGCAGCAGUGGGGAAUAUUGCACAAUGGGCGAAAGCCUGAUGCAGCGACGCCGCGUGAGGGAUGACGGCCUUCGGGUUGUAAACCUCUUUCAGCAGGGAAGAAGCGAAAGUGACGGUACCUGCAGAAGAAGCGCCGGCUAACUACGUGCCAGCAGCCGCGGUAAUACGUAGGGCGCAAGCGUUGUCCGGAAUUAUUGGGCGUAAAGAGCUCGUAGGCGGCUUGUCACGUCGGAUGUGAAAGCCCGAGGCUUAACCUCGGGUCUGCAUUCGAUACGGGCUAGCUAGAGUGUGGUAGGGGAGAUCGGAAUUCCUGGUGUAGCGGUGAAAUGCGCAGAUAUCAGGAGGAACACCGGUGGCGAAGGCGGAUCUCUGGGCCAUUACUGACGCUGAGGAGCGAAAGCGUGGGGAGCGAACAGGAUUAGAUACCCUGGUAGUCCACGCCGUAAACGUUGGGAACUAGGUGUUGGCGACAUUCCACGUCGUCGGUGCCGCAGCUAACGCAUUAAGUUCCCCGCCUGGGGAGUACGGCCGC